UGAAUCACAACUUAUUAUCCUUGUACCAUCCUAGAUUGUCAACACGUAUUCCUUUUCAAUCAUGACAAAAAUUAGCAUUUGUCUCCAGAAAUUUCAAAGAACACAUUCUAGCAACUAAAAGCGAUAUACAAAUUUGAUUCGAGUCAUGGAGUGUAGCAAUAUAAUGUUGCUAAUUCACAGAUCAACAUGUACAGUAACUUCUUUUGUUUGCGAUGUGAUGGUGGGGACGAUCUUCUCCUGAUGUAUAGCAAGGACUCGAGCUUAUGGCUAUUAUGACUUCUCAGUAGGCAGGUAGACCUAAAAGCAAAUCUUUUCGUCCGAGUUUUUUCUGCAAAGAAUCCUCUAACGCUCAGGUGGAUCGGAAUUCAAAGAAUAGUAGGAGGAA
rnacentral:lncRNA from 1 species